UACGGAGGGUGCAAGCGUUAUCCGGAUUUACUGGGUUUAAAGGGUGCGCAGGCGGGUUUGUAAGUCAGUGGUGAAAUCUUUAGGCUUAACCUGAAAAUUGCCGUUGAUACUAUAUAUCUUGAAUGCUGUGGAGGUAAGCAGAAUAUGUCAUGUAGCGGUGAAAUGCUUAGAUAUGACAUAGAAUACCUAUUGCGAAGGCAGCUUACUACGCAGAUAUUGACGCUCAUGCACGAAAGCGUGGGGAUCAAACAGG
rnacentral:rRNA from 1 species